rnacentral:rRNA from 1 species
UGAGCAAUCUGCCCUUCUCUUCGGAAUAAGCGUUGGAAACGACGUCUAAUGCCGAAUACGACCUCCUUUCGCAUGAUCGGAGGUGGAAAGCUCCGGCGGAGAAGGAUGAGCUCGCGGCCUAUCAGCUAGUUGGUGUGGGUAAUGGCCCACCAAGGCGACGACGGGUAGCCGGCCUGAGAGGGCGACCGGCCACACUGGGACUGAGAUACGGCCCAGACUCCGUACGGGAGGNAGCG